AUGAAAGUAACCUGAUAACACCAACGAAAUACCUAAUAUCAUCUAUCUCAACUUCCAGUUUGAGCAGACUGUUCUUUCUUCGCGCUAGCGACAGUCUCUUCCCUCCCCUCGUUUGCUUCACCUCGUCCCUCUUCAGCCAUCCUCACGGAGUCAGUUUCCCAUCUCGCCUCUGCAUAGAAUCCUCACCCCUCAAUCUCGCCCCAGCACAGGCGAAAGGAAAGCGUCGCUAGCCCCUUGACAUCGCCGCUGCUUAUCCUUCCCGCAUCACUGAAGCAGCUCGUCGGCGCUUAUGGCUGGUGUUUUCUGCAGGGGUUUUUUUUUUUUUGGGUCGAGAAAUCCCAUGGGAGGGAACUGGAAAA
rnacentral:misc_RNA from 1 species